CUCUGGGUGGUGUAAAUGAUUAAUAUGCUUGGCUGCUAACCAAAAGACUGGUGGUUCAAGCCCAUCCAGAGG
rnacentral:tRNA from 1 species